GGCGCGGCGAGCCCGACCAGGAGCGCAGGCACUACUGCAAUUUUUUGCCGCAACACGGUGGCCGGAGCCGGCUUGCCUGGUGCCGGCUCCCCCGUGCCGUGGGCGCCCCGUCGCCCUCUGCCUCCCGGCGAGGGAAAGCAGGCGGGGCGCGGGCGCACACGCUCCGCGCACACCCGGCGGCUGGGAGCGGGCACAGCGCGGCGAUGCAGCCCGGCAUCCCUUCCACCCCUCCACAACAAGGAGCCCUCUUCAAUGUGCAACAAAUAACCUAUCACCUGCUCCAGGAAAGCAUCACCCAAGAAAACACUGACAUGUAUGCAUCCCUUCAAUGAGGAUUGGGAUUGUUUAAUCUCUAACUCACUGUUAGAAGCUCAACCCAAGCUUGGCCUAUCCUGCUGUCCCCUGAGACAAUGGAGAGCAUGAAAUCAGAAGACAAACAAAACCACCAACAACAAAACAAACAAACAAACCAACCAACCAACCAACCAAAAACUAAUGGAUGCAGAAUUUAUCUGAAAUAUUGCUACGUAAGACUGCAUGAUCUAAGGUCAAAUGUGAAACCUAGAAGCAACUGCUGUUAUUCUGCCCAACACUCUUGUGCAAGCAGCUCAGUAAACUGAUUUCUUAGGAAAAGGCAUGUAUUUACAAUAAGGAUUCCAUGCCAGAAAACUCUGAUAUUAUUAAAUAUUUCUGAAUUAGGAAAUAAUACUAUAUCCUCCCUGAGUGAAUGGCCUAUGAAAAUAGUACAAAAAUGGCCAUGUAUUGCAGAGGAAUACCAAGUUUAAGAAAAUUUGACCCUGGUUGGAAAUGACGGAGGACAGAAAGAGGUGCUCUAUGAAGGAGAAAAACAUAUCAUGUGACAAGCCUUUUUUCUUUGGUUGCUUCUAGUAACUUAUCUUGUCUACUACAAUGGAGCAGUUGUAGCUCUCUUUCAUGGCAUGAAUGCCAUAACUGUUAGGCUUCAACCUGGUCAGGUUUGAUAGGCAGAGGUCACAUGACAUUAACAGAAUGUGAAUAACUUAUUUAGAAUACUCUAAUAUAAAUUCUCACUGCCCCAAGUUUUUCUCACAUGUCAGACUAACCCUUAUCACUUUCCAGAAUUCCAGAAAUAAAGUUCUUACAUGGAUGAAGAUGGAAGGUAUAACCCUCUUAUCAAGCUACCUGGAAGCAGAAAAGUCUCUUACUUUAUUUCUUAGACAGUUCAAGAAUAAAGCUAUAUGACAAAAGAGAAUAAAGUAAUUUUCAUCCA